UUAGCGGCUGAAUAGCGGCUGCCGACGAGACGUGCAGAGAAUCCGGCCUGCCCUGCGCAGCUAGGGCGGCGGGACUGGCCGGGGAUAGGAAGAGAGCCAGGGACCAAGGAGGGGCGCAGGGCUCGGCCUACUCCCUUGGGCUAGAGAUCCGGGCCUCAUCCGCACCCAAACUCUCGCAGGGGACGUGCGGACCCCAGGACCCUCCACUCCAAUGCAGUUGGGUCGCUCUCGGGCUGGGGAUUCUCGGCUCUCUCCUGGCGCAGAGGAGGAUGGGCUCGCCUCCUCCCCGAGACGGAAGGUGAACUGACUAGCCCCGUCCCAACUCGGACGGGCUUCCUCGCCACCUUCCGGACAAAGUGUCAAGUACAAGUUCAAGUUCAGGGCCAGGCCCGUGGGCGGGGGAUGGGGGUAGGGGGCGCCGAGCCUUCCCUGGCUGCCUUUGUUCUCCGGGAUAAUCGCUCCCACGUCCCCUCCCUGGCGGGGCCAGGCAGAUACCCCCCCCCCACCCCACCGCCCCCCGCAGGAGCCGCCUCCUCCCGCCGGCUCGGCGCCUGUCCCCUAGUCCCGGCGACCCCGCUCAGGGCCACCGAAGGGUCUAGGGGCUCAGGGCGGGGGGAGGCGCGAUCCGAGCCCGUGGGAGCCUCCCCAACCUCGCAGUCCCAGCAGCAAACUGCACCUGGUCGGACGGAUGCCCGCGUAUAGGUAAGAACCCUCGGCGGGGUUCGCCUGCACCCCCUCUUGCCCCGCCCCCCGUCCUGGCCUCUGUGCCCCGGACCCAGCAGAGUGGAGUGUGCUGCGAAGCGACUGGAAGAUUGGGCCGCCGGGCUGGGCCUCCGGGGGGCGCGCUGCAACUCCAGAACUCUGGGGGCUUGAGAAGUUGCAGAAGGUGACAGUGGUAACCAGGAAUACUGACCUGCGUGAGGCAGGGGAUACAAGAGAUGCUGUGUGUGAAGGUGCUUUGUAAAGGGGCCACCCUGCGGAGGUGGACAGCCUUCUUGCAUCCGGGGCAGGAGAGGAAGCGUCCUGUAAACUCCAGCCUAGUGAUGUGCUUCACUUCCAGAGGUCGGCAGUCCCGGCUCCGCGCCUUUCGGGGCGUAGGGACCAGAGCUAUCCGAUUUCGCAGUCCUCAACCGCGCAGCGAUUCACUCAAGGCAGUCUGUGCAGAGAAGCUAGGAGCACCGGAUUGGCAACGCGGCCGGGCUCAGGAGUCCGCCGCGUUGGGACCCUCUCUGCCAGGCAGUCCUGCAACCCCCUACUCCCAGGGUCUGUUUGGAGCAGGCUGUAACCAGAGAGAACGCAUCAUCCUUGAACUUAACUCCGGCUCCGGCUGGAGACUCUAGGGAAAGCCUAGCUUGUCUUGUGGCCCCUCUUUCUUAAUCGUGGCAUCCAGCUAGACUAGCUUGCCCUGCCCUGCCCUGUAGAAGGCUGGUUGGUAGUAGCGUAGUCCGGGGUUGGGGCACAGGGAGGCCUCCGCCCUCCUCCCCGCCGAGCCAGAGUGUUACUACUUUCCAGUUUGCUCACAUCCGGGAUAUCGGAUUUCCCCGAGAUUCAGGAUUAUUAUAUCUCUAUAAUUUCUUCUAGCCCCAAGGUUCCAAGAAAGUCUAUAAUGAACGCCAAUAUCUACAAUCGCCUGGUCAUUUUGUAUCGAAUGGGAGAGCCAUCAGGUUUUGGGGGGUGGAAAAUGUAAAAACUGUCUCGUGGUGGGUGACAUCUGCUUCUUGUUUCCUAUCAUUCUGAAAGAAUUUUUGCCCCAUGGAGAACCGAACUUGUUUGAAACAUAUUUCUCCUGUUUCUGAGGACUAGAGAUAAAUUAUCUUGAUAGGUAUUUUCUAAACUACUAAAAACGUGCGGACAACAACAAAAAAGGCAAUCUGAGCAGGCCCCAAGAGUGCGCACUGCCACCGGUGCCUUAGACCUCCGACAUUAAGUACACAAAGAGCCUGAGCUACCUGGGGUGUGUCAAAUACAGAUUGCCACGCAAAGUCACGGCUCCCAACUGCUGCUCCACUGUCCCUAAGCGCAGAAGAUCCUGUCUUCUGUUCCCCGAGGCCGGCGCCCGCUAUGCUCUCUCCAAGUGUGAUAUGGCGAGGCUACCGCAAAUGAUGGGAAUUCUUAGGGAUUCUGGAGUCGCUCUAGGGGCGAGAUCGCGUUUGUCCCACGACCUUGGCGCCAGGAAACUGUAGAAUGAGACAGACCCCAAUUUUCUCCACUUGGAGUUGAAACAAAACCUGAAAGCCCGAGGUUGUCUGCACCGCCAGAGGUGGCGCCUUGGCGGCGGGGGCUGCUAGAGCCGCGUGCCCGCGCGGUUGCCAGGCCUGGGUUCAGUUUCUUGCCUAGUUAGUUACUUAGCUGGCUAGCUAAUAACCAGCUUACGGGCAAAAACAUUUAUAUAGAUGCAGAGCCUGGUCGGACGCGUUCCAGUGUCCGCCAGAUCGAGAGCUGCCCGACUGGGCUCCUGGGAGGAGGAAGGAUGGGAAAUUCCUAGUAAUUGGAGGGGAGGUUUUCCCAGGGCGCCUCUCCGUGGAGUGGCCUUGGCUUCCGAAGAGGAACAAAGGGCUAAGGUGCCGACGCGAUACGCGCCCUUGGGGCCGGGCGCGCCCUGCAUUUAUGCCCCCUCCCCGCGCUGAGGCGGCCGUGGGCUUUGUGAGCUGGGGCGGCGCGCAGAGCUGCACCUGCCCGGCUUUAAGUACCUUGGCUAGGCAGCGCGGGCGGCUGUUCUAAUCGCCAUCUCCAAAGUACCUGCUCAUGAAUAAACACCAGCCCUAUUUAUCAGGUACUUAGCGCUCAUUGUGAAGGGGAAAUUGGCCCUUUUCUGAAAGUGGCUAUCCUCAACCCAUCUGCACAGUGCUGGAUGCAGAAUUUUCCCCACCCUGAGGCGCGCGCGCGUGCGCGCGUGUUCUCUCUCUCUCUCUCUCUCUCUCUCUCUCUCUCUCAACACGAGGCCCCUCUAGACUAAGAUAAACUCGCUUUUCUUCCGUAAGUGUGUGAUUGAGCUGCAACAAUAGGCGGAGAGGAGGAGGCCGCUGGGUCAAUAGCCUGCAUUUCUCCCAUUGAUAAGAAAAGUCAGCUUGGGGAAGGCAGGACCUUUGGAAAGACUGCCAUUCUAGCCACAAGGGCCUUGUGGACACACUUGCGCAUACCUGAGGACUGCUGUCCCGGUUUCCUAAACAUUGUGCAAAAUAUUGGAAGCAGUGGUCUAAGGUGUCCGUGAUGCCUGUCAACCUCGGCCAGGUGUGCCCCAACUGCACCAUUUUCUCCCUACUUUCUCCAGCUGGGCCCCCUGGUCCUGGCUCUUAAGUCUUGGACAUUUGGGAGGAGAAUAUAUAGAUCCAGCUAGCUCAAUUUGCAAACUCCUAGGCCAGUAUCCAAGGAAAAAUGGGUCUUUCGCGAACCCGGAUGAGCCGAAGAGCAGCUUUCUUCUGACACAGCUAAGAUUUCCCAGAGAAGGGAACUGAGGGAGUGGCCUGCUCCACCCACACAACCCAGGCAGCCCCAGGGAAGAUAUAAAAGUGUGAUAAAUAUGUAUUAAUUUGUAAAUUCCCACAAAGGCAAGGCAGUAACCUUUAAAUGCUUUUGGGAGGGUGAAGGCGUGCUUCUUUUCCAUUCAUACAUUCCUUCCAACAUAUGCGCUUUCUGUGUACACGGGCACACGUUCCCAGAACUCUUCCCUGGGUGGAAUUCGUCCUUAAACACAGUCGAUUUUCUGGACCUGCGUACUGCCACAAACAGCUCUGAAAAUGAAAGUGUUUGGAAAGCUGAAAGAAAGUUCUUCUCUGGGGACUGGAAACCCGGAGGUUAUUUCUGAGAGAGAAAUCUGGGUCCCUCUCAUCUUUCCUGACUCUGCUGACCAUAUCUUCAGAACCCUGAGAAGGCAUCACAAGGUCUCUUCAGUCAGCAGAUCCCCACUGAUGCCACCCACCCAACUCCAGGAAAAGGAAUCCUACUGAGUCCCAGAUUAACACACACACACACACACACACACACACACACACACACACACACACACACACCAAUCAAGGGAAACUAGAUUAGGUUAGAGAUGCUGCACAGGGAGGCCAGGAAGAAAGUGCUGGGCUCUUGUGACCCAUCCCAGAGAAGAUCUGCCAAGGGAGGGAGGACAUCGGAUCUGGAAUGAUUCACACCGUCCAACUCUCAGAGAAAGAAGCUUCAUAGUUCUCCAGAGCUUUGUCAGCAGAGACACCACGCCCAGCAGGCGACUGGGGCUGCUGCGUAGAAAUGCCUGGGGAUUAGAUUGGAACAGUUCCCUUCCCCCAAUUCGUGGCAGAAUCAGCUUCGUUUUUAAUUCUUCAAAAUCGGGGAAAUAAACUCCAGCAUCUGGAGUGAAGGAGACUGUGUUCAGAGACCUUGCUCUUGGGCAGCCUCUCCCACCGGUGGCCCUAAAGUUCAUAGGUGUCUGGCUCCUCAGUGCGCACCGCGGUCUUUGGGGGCUGCGCGGCAGCUUUAUCUCCAGCUUAGAGGGUAGCAAACAAAGGUUUUCAAAGGAAUAUUUCUAAAGGAAGGAGUCCAGGGCUCCUUUCCCAAGCUCCCAGCCCUUGCGGGGGUGCUGGGUGCGGUAUGAACCCCUAGUUUGGCUGCGCCAGUUCUUGGUGCCGAGGGGCAGGGUUCUCAGAGGCGGGGCAAGAGCUGUCCAUCCAGUGGUGCUGAAUUUCAGAGGGGUGUUUGCUCAGCCCCACAUCUCAGACCAGCCUUUCUGCCUAUGAGACAGCUUCUUAUGGAAGAAAAGUAGUUCAAGCCAUCAUCAUCUUGUCCCCAAACCUCAAUAGCCACCUAAGUGGUUGUCAUUUCCAGUCGCGCUUCUCAAUCUAUUCUCCACUCAGAAUCCAAUCUUUUCUUUUUUUCUUCCAACGCUGGGGACUGUCCACCCGGGACCUUGCACAUGCUAAGCAAGCACUCUACCACUUGAGCUACGUCCCCAGCCCUAGUGUGAUCUUUUCAAGAGGCAAAUCUGAUCACACUUAAAGUCCUUCUAUGGAUUCCUGUAUGGUUCAUAAUGAAGUUUAAAUUCUUUUUACAGCCAAGAGACCCUCUCUUCCUCUCAAUGAUCUAGUACCUAUCUACUUCUCCCACCUUAAACACCUAUCAGAAUGGAAUGGAUUUAAAACAAAUCUAUUUGGAAGACAGCUGCUAAAGGUUGCUGAGGGAGCAGAGGUAGGUGUGAAAGAAAUAGUGGAGUCUAGGAUGAGCUCCUGUAGAGAUGGAUGAUCACACUUGUUUAUCUCUUCACCUCCAUGCCAUCUUGCCUCUGAAACCACACCAGGGUGAAGACAACAGGAAGCUUCUGGAGUUGAAAAUCAUUAUUGAACAGAACUGAGGAGGCUGUUCAGGUCCCUCAUAUACCUUGGGUUCAUUUUAAUUAUCCUGCCUGUUCUAGCUGAGGAAACAGGCCCAGAGAUGUGAAAUAAGUGGUCCCAAAUUCACACCGCUGAAAAGUGGCAGAUAUUGGCAAUAACUCUAAGUCUUUAUUUUGCUCGAGAGAAAGAGGCAACCCUGUGGAUUUCAUCUUCAGCGGAGUCAUUACAAUACUGGCUCUGAAGCCACUGUGCCUGCUUUUAAAUCCCAGCUCUGCCGCUUAUUGACUUAGCUUCUUUGAGCCUCAGUUUCCUCAGUUGAUAAAGGUGAUGGACAAUAAUAGUGCACCCUGCCCACAACUACUCUGACGACUAAAUCAGAUGAUGCAUAUAAAAUGCUUAACACCAUAGCCAUUCUCAUUAUUUCCAUAGGUCUGAGACCCUCUCUUGACUAUGACAGACAAAUCCAGAAGGUAGAGACGAAAUCUGGGGCUGAGAAUUUUCUGCCCCAUCAUCAGUGCUGGAAGAAAGAGGGCAGAGGACUGAGGAGGGGCCGCGUGACUGCCUGGGUUGGUGAGCAAUUUACUGGAGGAGCUCAUUUGGUGACUCUGAUUCCAAGUUAAUUAAAGAUGGCCACUAGGGGUCAUUGCCAUGGUGACAAUUAGGCUGGAAAGGAGCCCCAUUAAGGUGCGGUUUUAACGAGGCCAGUCGUUUUUUAACCUAAGAUCUAGAAAGAGGAAUUUUUUUUUUCUCCAGGUUGCUUCCUUUUCUCCCUUUACUGUAUUUCAGAUCCAUUUCCGGAUAGUCCCUGUUUGAGAAGACAGAGGAGGAUUCCUGGGUUUAAUUCCUCUGAAGAAUUAGCAAGGCAACAGGUUUCUUCUCUGUGGCAUUAUUUCUGCAUCUGAAAGGAGGCUUAGUGAGCAGAGGCUUUGAGAAGGAGGGUGGAGGCAAUGAGACCAGAGCAGGAGGUGAGGAAGGGGUGGGUCUUGUUCAAAACAGAACCAGAGGCUUUUUCUGGAAUUUAGAAAUGUUGCUUUUUUUUUUUUUUCAUUCUGUUUCCUAAACUGAGUGGGGUGAAGGGAAUUUCAUGGGAAGAAAGGGAGAUGUGUGUGCCUGAAGUCUGUUUUUUUCUGAGUUGGGGGAAGGGAGGGAGAAGACUCAAGGCCUCUCCUAAUUCACAGCACUUUAAAACAUCUAUAUUUUUUCUUAUUUCCAUAGUAAUAUAUGCUUGUUGAGAAAAAAAAUAGAAAUUUUGGAAAAAUUCAAAAAGAAAAUAUCCCCUGCAGUCAGACAUAAUGAUCGUUAACAUUUUCAGUGUGAUAAACUGAUCAGUCAACUGGAUUGAGAGAGGGGAAAGGGGGAUGUACAGCUUCUCAUUUAUGCCCUUUUCUACUGUUUGCAUUUUUAUCAGGAGAAUGUCAAAUAAAACCCAGUUAAAAUAGCA